CCUACGGGUGGCUGCAGUGGGGAAUAUUGCACAAUGGGCGCAAGCCUGAUGCAGCCAUGCCGCGUGUGUGAAGAAGGCCUUCGGGUUGUAAAGCACUUUCAGCGGGGAGGAAGGCGUUAAGGUUAAUAACCUUGGCGAUUGACGUUACCCGCAGAAGAAGCACCGGCUAACUCCGUGCCAGCAGCCGCGGUAAUACGGAGGGUGCAAGCGUUAAUCGGAAUUACUGGGCGUAAAGCGCACGCAGGCGGUCUGUCAGGUCGGAUGUGAAAUCCCCGGGCUCAACCUGGGAACUGCAUUCGAAACUGGCAGGCUAGAGUCUUGUAGAGGGGGGUAGAAUUCCAGGUGUAGCGGUGAAAUGCGUAGAGAUCUGGAGGAAUACCGGUGGCGAAGGCGGCCCCCUGGACAAAGACUGACGCUCAGGUGCGAAAGCGUGGGGAGCAAACAGGAUUAGAUACCCGUGUAGUC
rnacentral:rRNA from 1 species